rnacentral:rRNA from 1 species
GAUGAACGCUGGCGGCGUGCCUAAUACAUGCAAGUCGAGCGAACAGACGAGGAGCUUGCUCCUCUGACGUUAGCGGCGGACGGGUGAGUAACACGUGGAUAACCUACCUAUAAGACUGGGAUAACUUCGGGAAACCGGAGCUAAUACCGGAUAAUAUAUUGAACCGCAUGGUUCAAUAGUGAAAGACGGUUUUGCUGUCACUUAUAGAUGGAUCCGCGCCGCAUUAGCUAGUUGGUAAGGUAACGGCUUACCAAGGCAACGAUGCGUAGCCGACCUGAGAGGGUGGUCCGCCACACUGGAACUGAGACACAGUCCAGACUCCUACGGGAGGCAGCAGUAGGGAAUCUUACGCGAUGGGCGAAAGCUUGACGGAGCAACGCCGCGUGAGUGAUGAAGGUCUUCGGAUCGUAAAACUCUGUUAUUAGGGAAGAACAAAUGUGUAAGUAACUAUGCACGUCUUGGCGGUACCUAAUCAGAAAGCCACGGCUAACUACGUG